CACGCCCGCUGACGGCUCCCGCUUGGCCACCAAGUGGUGGCCGAGCGAGGGCCUCGGGGGUGGUU
rnacentral:pre_miRNA from 2 species